ACUCCUACGGGAGGCAGCAGUGGGGAAUAUUGCACAAUGGGCGCAAGCCUGAUGCAGCAACGCCGCGUGAGCGAUGAAGGCCUUCGGGUCGUAAAGCUCUGUCCUCAAGGAAGAAUAAAUAGACGGUACUUGAGGAGGAAGCCCGGCCUAACUACGUGCCAGCAGCCGCGGUAAUACGUAGGGGCAAGCGUUAUCCGGAAUCACUGGGCGUAAAGGGUGCGUAGGCGGUUUUUCAAGUUCAGAAGUGAAAGGCUAUGGCUCAACCAUAGUAAGCUUUUAGAAACUGUUAAACUUGAGUGCAGGAGAGGAAAGUAGGAAUUCCUAGUGUAGAGUGAAAUUCGUAGAUAUUAGGAGGAACACCAGUGGCGAAGGCGACUUUCUGGACUGUAACUGACGCUGGGCA
rnacentral:rRNA from 1 species